rnacentral:misc_RNA from 1 species
GAUGAAGAACGUAGCGAAAUGCGAUACUUGGUGUGAAUUGCAGAAUCCCGUGAACCAUCGAGUCUUUGAACGCAAGUUGCGCCCGAAGCCAUUAGGCCGAGGGCACGCCUGCCUGGGCGUCACACGUCGUUGCCCCCCCAUCUACUCCUUCGGGAUUGCGGGGGGCGGAUGAUGGCCUCCCGUGCGCCUCGCCGCGCGGUUGGCAUAAAUGCCAAGUCCUCAGCGACGCACGCCACGACAAUCGGUGGUUGCGAAACCUCGGUUGCCCGUCGUGUGCGGUCGUCGCGCAUCGAGGGCUCGAAAAAAUUGCCGGGUUCCGGCUCGGCUUUCAACGCGACCCCAGGUCAGGCGGGGUUACCCGCUGAGUUUAAGCAUAUCAAUAAGCGGAGGA